GGAGGGUGCCCGAGCGGCUAAAGGGGACGGACUGUAAAUCCGUUGGCUUCGCGCCUACGCUGGUUCGAAUCCAGCCCUCCACCA
rnacentral:tRNA from 1 species